UUGCAAUUUUAUUUGCUUAAAGUAUAUUCAUGGCCAUUUUCUCAUUUGUUAGGCCUUCUGUAGCAGUUAACGAGGCAAUAAACUGUGGGAUCUCAAGCAGCUGCUCAUUGCUAGUAACUUCCAUGAGUUGUUCUUUUAGUAUAAAAUGAACGAGUACAACCAGACACAGGAUGACAGAAUCUCUGUCUGUAUAAUUAUUGCUAUGAUUGGGAGAAGCUUAAUUUCAAAAGCAGAACAAAAU